rnacentral:rRNA from 1 species
CAAUAGCGUAUAUUAAAGUUGUUGCGGUUAAAGAGCUCGUAGUUGGAUUUCUGCUGAGAACGACCGGUCCGCCCUUUGGGUGUGUAUCUGGCUCUUUCUUGGCAUCUUCUUGGUGAACGUUGCUGCACUUGACUGUGUGGAGCGCUACCCAGGACUUUUACUUUGAGGAAAUUAGAGUGUUUCAAGCAGGCAUACGCCUUGAAUACAUUAGCAUGGAAUAAUAAGAUAGGACCUCGGUUCUAUUUUGUUGGUUUCUAGAGCUGAGGUAAUGAUUAAUAGGGAUAGUUGGGGGCAUUCGUAUUUAACUGUCAGAGGUGAAAUUCUUGGAUUCGUUAAAGACGGACUACUGCGAAAGCAUUUGCCAAGGAUGUUUUCAUUGA